rnacentral:rRNA from 1 species
UCGAGUUUUUGAACGCAAGUUGCGCCCAAAGCCAUCCGGCCGAGGGCACGCCUGCCUGGGCGUCACGCAUCGCGUCGCUCCCCC